rnacentral:lncRNA from 1 species
CUUCCAGGAUCCCAUCCCUGAGACUCCUUAGGCCCCUCUGGACUUCCUUCUCAGACUUUCCUUGUUUUCCUGAUGACCUUGACACUGUGAAGAGUACUUGUCAGGCAUUUAGUGGAUUAACCCUCAAUUAAAAAAAAAAGCCUUUCUCAUGAUUAGACUGAUUUUGGGGGGCAGGGAAAAUCACAGAAGUAAAGUGCUCUUCUUGGUACAGCAUGCCAAGGGUGCAUACUCUGAGUAUGACCUUCUGGAAUGGUUAAUUUGAAUUGUUAACUUGAUUGUAUUAAGAGAUGCCAAUGAUUAAGACACUUAUGGGUGGGGGUGUGUCUAGGAAUGAUUGGCAUGUGGGACAGCCAACUGAAGUAGAGACCCUCCCUAAGCGUGGGAUGACUGCUUGGAAGAACAAGGAAGCAGGAGCAGAUGCAAGCUUCACUCUUCUUGAACUGGUUCCUGAUUGCUGCUGCGAUUGGCCCACGCUGCCAGUGAUUGUCCAGGGAGUUUCCAGAAGCCUUCAGUCUCAGACCAGGGUAGCGUGGUUGAUCCCUCUUGUUCUGAGGCUUCAGCCUCUUGGACUGUGCAGCUACUGGUUCUUCCAGCUCUCUAGCCUGCAGACGGCUGUUAUGGACUGCCUAGCAUGCCCCCAGGAUGUGUAAGCCAAUC